UACGUAGGGGGCAAGCGUUGUCCGGACUUACUGGGCGUAAAGCGUGUGCAGGCGGGCCGCUAUGUGCCGUGUGAAAGCUCUCAGCUUAUCUGGGAGAGGUCGCGGUAGACAGGCAGCCUGGAGGCUCGGAGAGGUCAGUGGAAUUCUCGGUGUAGUGGUGAAAUGCGCAGAUAUCGGGAGGAACACCAAUGGCGAAGGCAGCUUGCUGGGACGGUACUGACGCUGAGGCGCGAAAGCGUGGGGAGCAAACAGG
rnacentral:rRNA from 1 species